UGGGGAAUAUUGGACAAUGGGCGCAAGCCUGAUCCAGCCAUGCCGCGUGAGUGAUGAAGGCCUUAGGGUUGUAAAGCUCUUUCACCGGAGAAGAUAAUGACGGUAUCCGGAGAAGAAGCCCCGGCUAACUUCGUGCCAGCAGCCGCGGUAAUACGAAGGGGGCUAGCGUUGUUCGGAAUUACUGGGCGUAAAGCGCACGUAGGCGGGCAUUUAAGUCAGGGGUGAAAUCCCAGAGCUCAACUCUGGAACUGCCUUUGAUACUGGGUGUCUUGAGUAUGGAAGAGGUGAGUGGAAUUCCGAGUGUAGAGGUGAAAUUCGUAGAUAUUCGGAGGAACACCAGUGGCGAAGGCGGCUCACUGGUCCAUUACUGACGCUGAGGUGCGAAAGCGUGGGGAGCAAACA
rnacentral:rRNA from 1 species